rnacentral:lncRNA from 1 species
AGUCACCCAGGCUGGAAUGCAGUGGUGCGAUCUUGGCUCACUGCAACCUCCACCUCCCAGAUGCAAGCGAUUCUUGUGCCUCAGCCUCCCGAGUAGCUGGGAUUAAAGGCAUGCGCCACCACGCCCAGGAGACAGCUUCCCAAGGCUGGAAAGAGGGGAGUGCGGAACAUGCCUCCACCAUACCACUGCCCACCUCCUGUGACCUCUGCAGCAAAACCUGAAGCCCCAAAGAGGCAGCUUCUCAAAGUAAAAGUGGAAUGAAGGUCAGAAUUUUAAUAACUGCUUCACAGCCUCUCCUGCGGGUUAGAUGUCCUGAGUGUGCUGAUGUUUGCAACACUUCCCUUUUCUGCUGUUUGAAUCAUCUGCAACUUCACAGGUUCCUGGUGACCUGAAUUCCCAUGGAGGAAAGAGGAAAAGGACAUUAUGCAAGGAGAUGGCAUCUCGUGUCCCUGGUGAACCAAAUUCCAUUAGGAAGACGGUGCAGUGUGAGGUGGACCUGGACCUGGAUAAAAUGGGUGUUUAACAAGUAUUUGUUGAGUAGGUGGUGGAGGAGGCACGACUAGAUGCAGGGUCUAGCUGAGUUGACAAGAGCUAACACCAGGUGUGGACCAGGACAGGGGGACCUUAAGCGAAGACACCCUGCCAGAUGUGUCUUGUUCCCUUGACUGUGGGGAGGCCCUUGGUGGUGGGGUGACGGUCCCCCAGUCUGAGGAUUUUCCCUGGAUGUAGCCUCUCAGUGCUAAAAUGGGACAGUCCCAGGCAAACCAGGUCAGUUGGUCACUCUACUCAGUGAGCCCCGUGCUGUGUUCAAAUUUUCCUCUUAACAGAUGUGGAUGGAUUUCGGAAACUUAGAAACCACCAUUUCUCUGUGCCUGGGAGGAGAGUUAAAUCUUCUCACCAGAAUCCUUUUAUGUGUGAGAGAAAUAAAUAUCUAUCCUUUUUAUAUCUCUUUUGUUUUGGAUUCUUUGUCACCAGCAGCCAAACCCAAUUCUUACAUAAACGUGAUACUAAUUAAAUUCAUUUGCAUAAACUCACCAGUUUUAUCCUUAAUUACUGUGAUAUACACUCAUGAAGUAUGUACCCUAAAAUACCACUGUAAGUUUUAUUUGAUUACAGCAUUAAACUUAAUUUACA